CCUACGGGGCGCACCAGUGGGGAAUCUUGGACAAUGGGCGAAAGCCCGAUCCAGCAAUAUCGCGUGAGUGAAGAAGGGCAAUGCCGCUUGUAAAGCUCUUUCGUCGAGUGCGCGAUCAUGACAGGACUCGAGGAAGAAGCCCCGGCUAACUCCGCGCCAGCAGCCGCGGUAAGACGGGGGGGGCUAGCGUUGCUCGGAAUGACUGGGCGUAAAGGGCGCGUAGGCGGUUUAUGCAGUCAGAUGUGAAAUCCCCGGGCUUAACCUGGGAACUGCAUUUGAGACGCAUAGACUAGAGGUCGAGAGAGGGUUGUGGAAUUCCCAGUGUAGAGGUGAAAUUCGUAGAUAUUGGGAAGAACACCGGUGGCGAAGGCGGCAACCUGGCUCGAUACUGACGCUGAGGCGCGAAAGCGUGGGGAGCAAACAGGAUUAGAUACCCGAGUAGUC
rnacentral:rRNA from 1 species